rnacentral:rRNA from 1 species
GCAUAUCAAUAAGCGGAGGAAAAGAAACCAACAGGGAUUGCCCUAGUAACGGCGAGUGAAGCGGCAACAGCUCAAAUUUGAAAUCUGGCUUCGGCCCGAGUUGUAAUUUGUAGAGGAUGCUUUGGGCGCGGCUCUAACUGAGUUCCCUGGAACGGGACGCCACAGAGGGUGAGAGCCCCGUAUAGUUAGAUGCCUAGCCUAUGUAAAGCUCCUUCGACGAGUCGAGUAGUUUGGGAAUGCUGCUCUAAAUGGGAGGUAAAUUUCUUCUAAAGCUAAAUAUUGGCCAGAGACCGAUAGCGCACAAGUAGAGUGAUCGAAAGAUGAAAAGCACUUUGAAAAGAGGGUUAAAUAGCACGUGAAAUUGUUGAAAGGGAAGCGCUUGUGACCAGACUUGCGCCGGGCAGAUCAUCCGGUGUUCUCACCGGUGCACUCUGCCCGGCUCAGGCCAGCAUCGGUUCUCGUGGGGGGAUAAAGGUCCCGGGAACGUAGCUCCUCCGGGAGUGUUAUAGCCCGGGGCGUAAUGCCCUCGUGGGGACCGAGGUUCGCGCAUCUGCAAGGAUGCUGGCGUAAUGGUCAUCAGCGACCCGUCUUGAAACACGGACCAAGGAGUCAAGGUUUUGCGCGAGUGUUUGGGUGUAAAACCCGCACGCGUAAUGAAAGUGAACGUAGGUGAGAGCUUCGGCGCAUCAUCGACCGAUCCUGAUGUAUUCGGAUGGAUUUGAGUAAGAGCGUUAAGCCUUGGACCCGAAAGAUGGUGAACUAUGCUUGGAUAGGGUGAAGCCAGAGGAAACUCUGGUGGAGGCUCGCAGCGGUUCUGACGUGCAAAUCGAUCGUCAAAUCUGAGCAUGGGGGGCGAAAGACUAAUCGAACCAUCUAGUAGCUGGUUACCGCCG